rnacentral:rRNA from 1 species
GACACUAGGUAUUAAACCAUAGAGUUGAGAUGGUGACAGCCUGAAAGAAUUGAAUAUGCCCCC